GGGGAGCCUAUACAGGUGUUGCAUGGCUGUCGUCAGCUCGUGUCGUGAGAUGUUCGGUUAAGUCCGCUAACGAGCGCAACCCUCGUCGUAUGUUAUAUGUGUCAUACGAGACUGCCGGUAAAAAGCCGGAGGAAGGUGAGGAUGAUGUCAAGUCAGCAUGACCUUUAUAUCCAGGGCUACACACACGCUACAAUGGUCUGUACAAUGGGUAGCCAAGCCGCGAGGCGGAGCCAAUCCUGAAAGCAGGCCUCAGUUCAGAUUGCAGUCUGCAACUCGACUGCAUGAAGCCGGAGUUGCUAGUAACCGCAGGUCAGCUAUACUGCGGUGAAUACGUUCCCGGGUCUU
rnacentral:rRNA from 1 species